AGCCAAAGAGAACCCUGUUGAAAUAGAUUGUUCCAUGUCUGCAGAGAAAACAGUCAGGAGGUGGAAAAUCAGAGCCAUGCACUGGGGAGCGGUGCCCGUGGCAGGCGGAUGGCCAUCUGUGUCAUCGCUAAAUCUCAGCAGGUGGAUACGUGCAGUUAUGGCACCUUCCAGUCGACAGCUGGCACCUCUGCCAAAUAUUUUGUGGCAAUACAUGAAUGCAGAGAUGACCACAAGAAUGUGCUACGCAUGCUCUGCUGAGGUCUGAGUUAACUGUCUGAAGCCAAGAGAAGCUCUACAGAGACUGCUGAGGACACACGCUGCAUAAUGCAGCUUUUGACAACUCAGUGACUCAGAGGAAAACCCAGGACGCUCAUUAUAAAAUGCGAAAGAAUGGGGAAGACCAGUCUGUCUGCAGGCAGGAAAUCUCAUGAGCAAGUUCACAGGGGCCAGAAACUCCUCCACAGCCCAUAACAGUCCUCUGGCUGACUCGGCCUGAUGGCUGAAAGGGUUCAGCAGCAUCGAUGAAUCACCUGAUCCAGGCCCUCACUGUCACCUCCAAGUGCAGGGAAAUCCCACAUGUGGUGCAGCAUCGCAUACCACCUUCCCAGAGGUGUUCAUACUGCUGUGGACAUAAAUACUGUUCUUGCCACUUGCUUUGAGUGUGGGGAAGACAGACAGACUUCUAGCUUGCUGUAUAUAUGUGCUAAAGACAUUAUAAAAUCCUUGGGGGAAAUUAUUUCUGUUUGUGACCUUCAGGGAAGAGCUUAAACAGGAGCUACUCUGUGCCAAAGGAGCUCUUAAUGACAGGAGUCUAGUGGGCUGCCUUAUCUCUAGCACUCACCCCAGCCUCCUCUUUCUGGCUAGGGCACUGCAGGGCUUGAGUACUCCAUGCUGUUGCUGUAGAAUGGCAGAGGGAGAGGAAGGAACAGAAGCAUAGGGUGAGGGCCAGCGUAUUGCCUGUGUAGUUCAGCAGCAUUAAUGUGACACAGCAGUUAACAGAGUUAUUGAAUCCCAGCUCAUUAUUUAAUUCCUCAGCAUAUCAAUGCAUUACCUAACUACUAUCUGUCUUACUGAGUUUGUGCUAGAUCUCCAUAAUGUCUUUCAUUUCCUAUUGGCUGGAUUAUAGCAUGUCUCUGAAUACCAUUCCUAGGAAUAAGCACAGAAAAUUUGCCAGCUCAGUUCAGUCAUAGAUAUGAGCCUGAUUUGAACCUAUCACUUGUUCUACCUGCUCCUAUAUUUUCUGCAUACUGAGCAAAAACUUCUUUCCUCAGGACUUGCUGAAAUCAUUUAAAUUAUCUUACUUGUCAGUUGAUUCAUCAGUUUUGUGGGGGUCAGCUGAAUGAGGAAGAAGUGAAGCAAGUUAGUGCAGAAAAUGAAAGUCAAUGUCCUUUUAAAAAAGGCACUCACACAUUUAAGUGACUGAAAAAUAUCUUCUUAUCCCUUCUAAAAUCCGUUACUCUUACAUUUAUCAUAGUCAGGCAUUACACACUGGCUUUUCCUGAAAAAAGAAUGUAUAGAAAACUCUAAGCUUCAUUAUAUUUCACUUAGAAAGCAGUUAAAGUUCACCAGAAAUGAGAGUCACUCUAGUCUUGUUUAUUACAAAGAAUACUUUUUUUUUUUUUUUAACAUUAUUCAUGGAAUACUACUUUAUCUCUGAAAAAAUAUAGUGACUUAAAUUCAGCUGUGAGUUAACUAGUAAUGCAGCUUUGUAGUUAUAAAAAUGGGCAUGAUUUGUGAUUUUAGAAUAAGUCACAACAAUGGGGAAAAUAUAAGUAGAUGUUGAGUAUUGAAAGUGCUGGUCCACAGACAUGAAGAAAAUCUUGAUUUGUGUUUACAUGUAGAAAUUUUCAGAAGGUUCUCCAUUAUAUAAUUCCAUUCUCUUAAAUUUCUUCUGGCAAAUUUUCCCCUAAAAAUCUCAACCCAGUUUUCCACUAGAAAAAAAAUGUUGACCUAGAGAAAAGAUAAGGAUAUGAAACUCUAUAUAAGAAGAUAUCUGUAAACAAAAAACAAUUUUCAUUCUUCAGAAAUGGGGAUAGAGAGAAAAGCUGAACCUCCUCUUCCAUAUCAAUCACUUCAUAUGGAACGUGCACUUAAUAAUGUUUUUUUGAAAUUUUAACUAGUUGCUUUACUAGUGAUUAAAUAGGUCUGGUUCAGAAUAAAGUGAAAGCUGCUGUCCUCAGCAAGCAGCCAUUUUCUGUUAACAAUGACAAGAUAAGCAGCAAGAAAAUCAGAGGUGGAGCUUUUUUAAAACUUGUCAGAUUUUUUUUUCAUGUAAGCAAAGCAAUGUAUGGGGGGGGGCAACAAACCAUUGUCAUAGGCAAACUUGAGAAAUUCAGUGCUGGAGUUAGAAAUUAGUUACACACAUAUACUUUUUUUUUUUUUUUUGUCAUAGCUGUAUUAUUGUGAUUGACUCGACAAGAAUCUAAAGCACAUAAUCCAUUUGUGGAUAAAGAAUCUACUAAUGUGUUUAAUCGACACUGAGGAAAUCACAAGAUCUUACAAAUGGCUUAUGGUGACUGUCUAAGAGUUCAUCUGUUCCUCUGCAGCCGAACCCCCCUGAUUUUGUCAUCAGAUUUGGAAGGUCAUAAGAUCAUGUGUGUUUGUGUACUUGUUUAUUUAAGCAGAAAAAAUACUACCAUUGGGCUGUAGUUUAUUUUAAUUCACUGCUGCAGUACACAAAGGGAGUGCAAGAGGAUUGUACCGACAUUACGUUCCCUCAACAUAUAUUGAUGAUCUUCUAACUGUUUCCCAACCUGUAAUUAUAUAGCAACCCAUGGAAUUGACAUAACUAAUCACAAACAUGUCAGAGACUUAGAUUCUACUUGAAACUAGAGGUAAGGAACUCUGGUGAUUUUUAUUUAUUCUGAAAUUAAUGAUCCAGCUUUAGCUCACUUUUGCAAAGUCCUCAUUUUAUUCUUUUACACCUUUGGUAGAAAUUUUUGAAGAAUUGAGCUUUGAUAUCUUUAGUUUAGCCAUAAUCGCUGCCAACUCCUUUGAGCAUUCUCAAGUUCCUACACUUCAGUAAUUCCCUGGAAGUCAACAGCAAUAUUAGCAUGUCUAAAUCUUGGCAAGUUUCAUUCCUGAGACAACUUAACAAGCCAAAUGAUUUUCUAAAGAGCCAAGCAAUUGGUGGUUACAACAUAGUUCAGCAACAUAGCAUUAAAAGGACAGGCAUUGUUCCUAAAAUCUCUCACCCACUACCAAACAAGAAUUGAGUGUUCCCAAAGGCAAAGUGACUGCAAAAUGGCAGUUGCUCCAGCUGGAACUGGGACCUGGGACUUUAUGUCUGUUCUUACUGCUCUCUACCCAGCACCUGAACAGUUAGUUGAAUGAGGCUGUGUGCACACAAUAAAGAAGAUAAACCUAAGAGUGCAACUGUACAAUACAGCUAAGCCAAUCUAGCAGCUAGCUACCUCCAAAAUGGCCCAACCUCAUUGCCUAUGCCUGCUUCUCCUAUUAGGAAGAUGUGACAACGUAAUCUAAUCCAGCUAUGAAGCGCAAGGCUGGCAGAACUUUAAUCCCUUUAAUCCUGUGGAAACAAUGGGAUUGCUUGCUGCCCUCCUAAAGCUGUUCACUGCCGGGACAGUGGUAGCCCAUAGAACAGGGGGAACGUGCAGGCACAGGAAGACAGGGCAGAAGAGUGCUCCUUAGGGUAUUGUCAGAUCUUCAGGUAGCCUUAGCUCUAUUGCUAAACCACACAAAUACCUACAGGCAUACUUUUAAUUCAUCCUGUCAAGAAGUGCAAAACAACAUGCGCUGUUUGCUAGUGGGCAGUUGGAAAACAUCCUUCACUUUCCCUCUGUUUUGGGUAUCUGCCUUUCUACCUCGCAUUGGUGCUUCUUAGCAUGCAGCACAUAUGCCAGGAAUAAUUACACUCAUCCAGGUCCAGUUCUAAGGGAGCAGAGCUGGCUUCUUUAAAUCAAAGGCAUACUAAUGCCCAUUCACAGCCCUGACUACAACAGGCUUGAAUUAUCUUACACGUGGCAUUUCCACAUAGGAUUUAUCCAGGCUGUUCUAUGUUCAAUACAGCAAAAUGUUAAUCAACACAUGCAAUUAAUUAGCGUCUAUACAUGGGGCCUGGAGCCUUAAUUAACAUUCCUCUCUAAUUAAACUAUCACUGAUGAUUCCAAGUCUCAGGUGAAACUGAGUGUCGGAAGUUUUUAGUGCUUGAUCUUCCACCCCCCUAUCUCCCAGGGCUUCAAAGCAAACAUUAGGUCCAUUUCCCAAAUAAAAUGGAGCUUUGCCAUUCUCCUUAAUAUCCUUGGCUUUAUUUCCUGUAGCAAAGAUCCUGAACUUAGCAGUUUUGUGUAUUUCAUUGUCCCUUGAUGUCAUUAGGUCCUGCAAUUUAGUUUUAUAAAAGGCUUAAGAAGCUAGUCCAUGGUUUUUCAGUGUUAGAAAGUCACUGGUUUUAUAUUUGAGGUGUUUCACAAAGAUGAGGAAAGACAACCUCUGUAGCAACAUACAAUUACCUUGUAAAUCCAGUCACUCUACUGAACAGCCUUCAUUGUAAAUUUUUUGCUACCCUGUCACUCAUAGUCAAUUUCUCUUCUUUAAAAAGAUCCUUUUGCUGUGUUACUGACCUCAUUUGUAUCUCCUGUUGUAUUUUUGUCACAUAUCCCCCAAGAAUUUCAACCUCUGAAAAGGAAACUAAGCGUAAAUCUAUCUAAACCUGCAUUUGUAAAUUAAAAGCUCUUUCCUCAAAAACAGCAUGAUUUUAUACAGCCAAAAAUCUAAAAGUGUUCUAAGUUAUUGCAGGAACUCACAUGUUAGUAUACUGCACUUUGAUAAAAAUGUGGACAUUUCUUUUCAAAAUUUAGGGUAGACAGAAGCCUGCCCAGCCAUCUCAUGUGAUGAACAAAUGUGUCCAAAUAUUAGAUAAAGUACUUGGAAAACUACCAGACUGAGAUGAUAAAUAGUGAGGAAAGAAGUAUUUACUUCUCGGUUCUCAGCCAAAGUUCUUGUUACGUAUAAGAGCAUGAUGAUUUGAUAGCUAACAUCAACCUUUAAAGUCCAGGUGACUGAUUUGCUUUAUUAGCUGUGUUAUGACCUCCUUCAAAGGGUCUGCCUUAGGGUCAAACUGAUAAUAAUAGGUCACUAAAAUUAAAUUUUCAAAGAUACUGAAUGAUCAGGAAUAUCUAGAGGUUUCUUACUUUUAUAGGGUUAUAUAUGGUGAAGAACACCUAAUUUCAGCUGUGCAAUCUGAAAAAGUUUCCCAUACUCAAGUUUUCUUUCCUCUAAAAUGAAGACCAUAGCAUAUCUUUAUCUCUUAGAUGAAAUGCAUGUUGAGAAAUAUGCUUGGGAAUUUAUUACAGAUAUGCAAAAAUCUUUGUAUAAAAAUGUAUGCUGGUUUAGAUCAUUAUGUUAGUAAAUUGUGUGUCAUAUAAAGAAAACUGAUUUGGUCUAGAUAAUAACUUCCGCUGAUUUGCAACUUGCUAACAGUUUUGAGAUUUUGAUUUUAGUCUUUGAAACUGUGAAAAAUAAAUAUUUCAAAAUCUUGUAGAUUUGCAUAAGGUGGGGAGACGAAUUUCCUUCUCAUCUCCUCUGCUUAUCUCUAUCUCCAUGUGAACUGUCAUUCACCUUUUAGCUCAUCUUUAUUUUAUAGGUAUUUCACCUUUUGAUAGUUCUCUACAGCUAUCCAGACUUAAUAGGUUUCAUCACAGCUUGCUACUACAGUGCUGCAUCAAAAGGAAAACAAAAGUUUAGGUAUAGUAAUUAGUAUAUUGCAUCAGAAUGAGGGAAAGUAACAACAUAUUACAAAAUCUGGCUGGCAUACAAGACUAUGCCUGCAGUUUGAUACGGUAUCAUUGUAACUUACAAUCAGUAAACAACUUUGAAAAGGAUUUAUUUUUUCAGGUCUUUUUUUUCUGGAAAAAAGAAAGUAAAUAAACCAACGACUUUUAGUGUUUGCUGCCUUUGAAAGGAUAUGAGUUAAUAGAAAAGAUUGAAGACUAAAUAUGUUUUAUCCACUAGCUUAAAUCUUAUUGAAAUAUAAAAACAGCCUUCAAGCAACCAUUCCUCUAGGCCUUUGGGUGUGCCAUUUGGGGCACUUUUCAUUACUUUCUUCCUAAAAAGGCUCUUGGACAACAGAUUUUGACUGGCAAGCAGAUGUGGCAGAGUGGAGGGGCUGCAAAGUAGGUUUUCAAGGUAGGAGGGAAAAUGUGUGAAAGAGAUGGGCUGUUACUCAUGGUUAGGAAACGUUUACGCUGUUUCAUGGUCCAAGCAUGGCAAAAGAUUUAGAUGAAAGGAGUGGAUGGAGGUACCUCCUGUUUUUCUCCUGUGACCUACCACAGUACAAGAAGCAACUUCUGUGUGAGCAGACAAAGACAGGUUUAGGCCUAGUGUCCCCUUAAUGCAGACUGUUCAUGUGUGACACUCAUUACGCAAAAAACGCUGGGCUGAAGGCAGUCAAAAGGACUUUCCUCAUUUGGCUGCGUCUUGUUACUGCUGUUAACCUACUGUUUGCAAGGGCUUUGUAUCUUUGUCUCCCUGUUUUGGAUAACAGUCACCUUUCAAGUGCUUAUACUUGAUUUUCAGCAGUGCGGUUAAGCACUAUUUGUGAUUACUCAGCAUUUUCUAGGGCAGGAUGCAGUGGAUCACCUUUAGCAGUAAAUAUUUCUUAAGAGUUGUAAAACAAUACCUGCUUGGAGUGUUCCAGUUAAGCCUCCUUGUUGCUGAAGUUGAUUGAUGGAGUCAUCAAAGGACACGGAUCCCUGCCCCUCUUUUAUAAGCAUUUCCUACGCGAUUUUUUAGGGACUUAAUUGUUGAGUCAGUGUUAUAUUAAAGAGUCUCCAUAGCUGCAGGUCUUAGCUCAGCAUGUUCAUCAGUCACUGACCAAGGGAAAUUUGCUGUCUCUGUGUAUUUGAAUGUGGAGUACUCUUGCUUCGUACUCCACACAAAAUCUCUAUUUCAUUCUGACUGCAGUCAAAGUCAAGCAUGAACUCUUCUAGUCCAAAACUGACUUACGUUUUCUUAAAAGACAGCCAUAGCUAGACUGAGAAAGUAUUGGACAAGUUUCUAAUGAGAAAGCACCUCAAAAGCACUGUCAUGAAGAAUCAUAUAAGAUCAGUGGUUAAGGUGGGUGACUGAAGGAACCAGCAGCCUUCUCCAGCAAGUAGUGGCUGAGGUAUUAAAACUUGAAAAAAAGAAAAAAAGUAGAAAGAUUGGAAUGGUAACCCCACAUAUCCUCCACCCUCCUGUCUUCACUGAGGGAUGAUCCCUCAAAAAUAAGGAAAGACAAAAUGUCAAAUUCUGCUACUCCAUUCUAUACCUGCUAAGAUGAGGGAAAAAAGGCAACAUGUUUUGUAUGAACUGACAGCUGAGGUAUAGGCUUUUUGCAGGACAGAUAAGUAGCAGUCAGUUUGAAUCUUUUUGAUAUCCUCCUGCUACUCAGUGUCAAACAUUUUAGUUUGACAGCAACAAGCCCUGGUAAAAUGUCUAAAGGCAUUUAUAAAUGCCUCCUUUUCUUUGUAAAUAUUUUUGUUGGACAUCAUGAUGCAGGGACAUGAUGGGUCCCAUCUGUGAUAGAAAUCUUGCCUGUACAAGGGUAAGUAUGAGCCUAAUCCAAGUAACCAAAAACUUUGACACUGACUCAAUCAUUUCAAAUUCACACAAUGUGUGAAAAAAAGAAAACCUAUGUGUUGCACCAACCUACCUAGAGCUUUCUGGAACUCCCCAGGUUCCAGCCCUGAAAAUUAAUUUCCUCUUGCCCCUUAAAACUUUAUUCCAUGUUGGGACAUGAUCUGCAUGCAUAUUCCCUCCAUUUUACCUCUAUCUUCCUCUGUUCCUUUGCCAUGUAUCUCAGAUAUUCCCCAAUUUAUUACCAGGAAACCAACAGGUGCUUGACAGAUGGCAAUUUGCCUGCUAUUAAUUACUGAGAAACUGCUCACUCAGAGAUCUUAUCCGUUCAUUUUCUACUCCUUAUACUAAUUGGCAUUCCUGAUUGGUGAUAAGGAAGAAGAAUAAUUAGAUAUAGAUGGAGCAUUUUGACUGAUGUAAUCUACACAGUAAAUACCUGUACAGCAACAAUCACAACUGUGCAGGAGCCGGCAGGAAGAUUUGCAUAGAGGUUGUCCUUGGUUUUCAGAGGCAGAGAGCUGGUGAAUUAUCAUACACCUUUCAAGAGCUAGCUGGGAUAUCCACGAAAGCCGGAAGGUAUCAUUUUUAAAGGUGUUAAUUAGCACUGCUGAGGUCCAUUCUCCAAUGACCAGUGCCUUCAGGAACAGAAAGCUUCCAAAACCCUGUAAGGGAAUUUACACAGGCCUCUUUUUGGAAGCAAAUGAAGUGAUGAUAGUGGCAGCCAAUCGUUCCACAGCUGAGCAGCACCUGAACACACUUCCCACCACUCUCCUCCCAAAGGGGCAACCCCUGACAUCCCUGCAGAUGCUAUUUCUGCACUGGCUCCGUGUAGACUCUGAAGGUGGCAGUCUCCAAGACAUGCAGGAUUCUGGGUGUACUGGCACUCCGCCUGUCAAGCCCAGGCUCUGCAGAGUGGUGACAUCUGCUGUGCUAACAUGAGUCAAGGGAGAUCCCCACCAGGCAAGACGGCAGAAAUGAACAACAGAUGGGGCUGUUCAGGAAAAGGAAUGUAUCUCAACAAGAGCCUCCAGAAAUAUUUCUUUUAUGAGCAAAGAUUAAAGUCCUUUAAUUUGUUAUGGGAAAAAAAAAAGAAAGAUAUUAUAUUGGGUAACUGUUUUAGACUUGUCUGCUAUGAUAGAUGUAUAAUGAAUAAAAAUCUGGAAUUUGUCUAGUCUAGACAAAAAGAGUUUUCUAAUGCUGACACUUGGGAUUUUAAUGAAAAUGGAAGUAGCAUUUUGCUGGAGCUUGUGUGUUUGCAAGGGAAAUGCAACACACUGUCAAGGUUAACGGUGAGAAAGCAGAACCAGGAGGAUCCUGGCCUACAGGCUUGGAGAUCUGUGUAAAUGAUGUCUCAGGUUUGCUAAUACUCAUUCACACUUUCAAACAAGUUUCUUGUCUGUAUGUUCACACCCUUUCUGCUUUGCUUUUCUGUGACUCUUUCCCUGAGCAGCGUUGCUGACUAGAGCUUUGCUCCUAAUGGCAAAUUCAAGGCCAGUUGUGGGGGCUUCAGCAUAACAUCAGGUUCCAGCUCACAUCCAGGAAUACUCUCCUGAGAAGGGCAAUUCUGAGUACCUGUUUCAGCUCAUUUUGAAGUAGAAAUAUAUCAUGCGAUCAUAUACACUCCCAUCAAAGCAGCUUCUUUCUUUACCUCUUUUCCUUUUUUCCCACUUUGCAGCCUUGUAUCUGACAUCAGGAACCUGUCCCACUGCAGAUUCUUCACAGAGAAGAAAAUAGUCACACUUUUGAGCCUUGCUGUUUGCCAAAACAAGCAGGCACUACAUCUACAAGCUGUUAUAAACAGCUACUGCUAGCAACUAAGUUUUCCUUCAGCAAAUGGACCAAAGAGAGCUAAAUGCACUACAAGGGAAUCUUUCAGCCAAAUACUUGUGCUUGGCCUUUCUGAAUUUCUUCUUGACUGCAUGAGAGAGAAGGACAGAGCAGAGAAACAAUUCCCAGGCUGCCAUCCAGAACAUUUCUGCCAUGCUGCUCAGGGGCCUGCCCUCUGUGCCAGAACACAUGCUAUGUGGUUUGCUCUCCUGACAACAUCAGCAGGUCCUGAGGGCAAGUCAGUUUGUUCCCUUCCCGCACAUCCUUUAUUGACCUCACUUAUUCUUCAAAAAAGAGACUACUAUCAAUCUCUUCAUGCUCUGUAAGCAAUAGUCUGGGGACUUUAUUUCAUUCCAGACCUCAAGUUGAAUGAAAAUCUAGACAUUAAUAGUGCCUGAGACUAUAUGGAGUAAAAACUGGUAUAUACUCCGUUUGAUAUUUCAGAGAGGCAGUGUUUUGGGAUUUGUUUUUUCUCCAAGCACAUUCAGUCUUUAAGUGAACCAGAGUUUUCCAAGUGUUUGGCUCCUGGCCUAAGGCCAGUGCAGCGGAAAUGAGAUGAUCACAGUGGUAAUAAUAUGUACGUUGGAACCUUAGUCAGAUUUGGUUGUUCUAUUCUUAGCUUAUCUGUCCAUAUGGGCUUUCAAAAGAGAAGAAAGCAGUAUGGUAACAAUUUUCUUGGAAAGGUAACUAGUUUCUUAGUCAAAAGGAUUAAGGGGUAUGUUCAACUUUCAUCCAACUGUUAAAAAAUAAAUAAAAUAUUGCCUACCAGUGUAAAAUUAA